GCUUUAUUAGUAAUAUGGUUAACACUAUAAUUAAUAGGUAAAGUACGGAAUUGCAUGGCUGUCGUCAGUUCGUGCUGUGAAGUUUAGGAUUAAGUUCUUUUCAACGAAUGUAACCCUAUAAGUAAGUUUUUAUAAUGUACAAAAUAAAUGUAUAAUAUAUACUUAUUUAAUCUAUAACUGAAUAUAUUGAAAUCUUUUUUGUAUAUUUAGUUAUAGGGGUUUUAGGCUGAAGUCAAGUCCCUAUGGUCUUUAUACGUUGGGCUACACACGUGUUACAAGGGUAAAAACAAAGAGACGCAAUAGAGUAAUCUGGAGCAAAUCUCUAAAAAUUAUCUUAGUUCAGAUUGUUUCAUGAAAUUCUGAAACAUGAAGAUGAAAUCGUUAGUAAUUGUAAAUUAUUAUGUUACAGUGAAAUAUUAGUCAAAUUUUGCACACACCGCCCAUCA
rnacentral:rRNA from 1 species